AGUGAACGCUGGCGGUAGGCCUAACACAUGCAAGUCGAACGGCAGCACAGUAAGAGCUUGCUCUUACGGGUGGCGAGUGGCGGACGGGUGAGGAAUACAUCGGAAUCUACUUUUUCGUGGGGGAUAACGUAGGGAAACUUACGCUAAUACCGCAUACGACCUACGGGUGAAAGCAGGGGAUCUUCGGACCUUGCGCGAUUGAAUGAGCCGAUGUCGGAUUAGCUAGUUGGCGGGGAAAGGGCCCACCAAGGCGACGAUCCGUAGCUGGUCUGAGAGGAUGAUCAGCCACACUGGAACUGAGACACGGUCCAGACCCCUACGGGAGGCAGGAGUGGGGAAUAUUGGAAAAUGGGCGCAAGCCUGAUCCAGCCAUACCGCGUGGGUGAAGAAGGCCUUCGGGUUGUAAAGCCCUUUUGUUGGGAAAGAAAAGCAGCAGGUUAAUACCCCGCUGUUCUGACGGUACCCAAAGAAUAAGCACCGGCUAACUUCGG
rnacentral:rRNA from 1 species